UCCUCCUCUGGGUGCUCUGAGAGCGAGCGAGGUUCCGGGUGUGAGUGGGAGCGUGGAAGAGACAUGGAGACCGAGGUGAGGGCCGCCAACCGGUGGGCUGCGAACUGUGCCCGCGGGAUGCAGGACCGCAGGCGUGGGAUUGGUCGUCCCCCGAGUCCUGGCGGAGGGAGAGACCCGGCACGCGCCAAUCGAUAGGGACAGAAACUGCGCACUCGUAUUCAGCCUACAUUUCCGGAUCCGAUCCUGGCGGUCUGAGCAAGCGCGGAAGGAGCGACAACCCUGGCCGCAUGACUCAUCCUGCUUUCCCCGGGUCCAAGCAGGGAAAAGGAGAGAAGUCAGAUGCGCAUGCGCUCUCCGAAGUUUGUAGCGUUCCCGCACUGCAAAUCCUGUUUUUGUAAAAGUCACCUAAGGGAGGUGCGGCUGAGUCACUUCCUCCAUGCUUUUGAGGUACUGGGGACGGAACCCAGGGCCUCACAGAGCUAGGCGAGCACUCCCGCCAGCCACUUUCACUGGGUGGACUGCAUUUUGAUCUACACACUCUGUUGGCGUAGCUCUGCGAGGACAGCAUGCCAUACCACGCUAAUGCCAUCACUACCUCCGCCGCGACCUCCUGUGAGCACACGGUUGUCACUUAGACCUUUUUCUCCCCGGGGCCACACACGUGCCCGGGACGCUGGCCUUCGGUUGCUACUGCGCACGCGCGGCGUCGCGAAUCCGGUCCGCAGAGGACACAGCUCGCCCCCUGGCGCGCAGCGCCAGAACGCCGGACGUUGCUCUUGCGCACGCGCGGUGCAGCUCAGGCCGGAGCGCGAGAGCGCGAUUUGGCGCCAAGGAGAGGGCGCGCCCGGCGGACUGCGCAAUCAGCGGCUUAAAUUGCGUGCGUUCGUCUCCCGGGUUUGCGGGAAGCCGCGCGGGGGACCCACGGCUCUGGCCUUGCCAUUUGCCGCUGCCGUGUGGACUUCGCCCCCUUAAGGCGCUUGUACUUUUCGGGUUGUGGUGUCUCUGGGCUUUUGAAUCAUACUUUAUAAUGGAGGACGCCAUACCCGGUGUGAGCUCGCCCGACAGAACUGGAUAUCGGAAGUUCGUAGAGCGGCGCCCGGAAGUGGUUCAUCAAGUUUACUAGUGUGGUAAACCCGAUUUUAGUCCCCAGGAGUGUGAGAGGAGGUGUGUAGUUGUGUAGCUGGCCCAGCUGUGAAGCCAUUAGGGUUGCGUGCAGAGCCCGCUACCGUUCACACUAUGCCCCUUUUCCACGAUAAAGUGUUGAUACUCUUGCUUCAAAGAUGGUAUGAGGGACUUUAUUCUAGAGCCACGUAUGAGGGACUGUGACCCGGGAUAAGAGAUGCAGGUCACCCGAAAGUCCAUGUUUAAUCUAGUAAUAAUUGGAUGAAAUGUUGGAAAUAACAGAACAACGUCAUAAAUCAAGAAAGACACUUGACAUGCUUUGAAUUAAAGAAUUUACACGUGAGCCAUGGCUCCUCUCCCUCUGUCACACACACACACACACACACACACACACACACACACACACACACACACACACACGGCUCUAGUACCACCUUGGGCUUGGGCUUCAUUGUCAUAGUAGCCCAUCAUUAUCUGUUGUCUUGGGCCCUAGCCUCUUAAGUGCUGGAAGUCUGAAGUUGAUCUUCACCUUCCUGUAACAAGCAUUAACCGGCUGUUGAGCCAGCUCCUGUGCACAUUAAAAUAUUAUUUGUGAGCCGGGCGGUGGUGGCGCACGCCUUUAAUCCCAGCACUCGGGAGGCAGAGGCAGGCGGAUCUCUGUGAGUUCGAGACCAGCCUGGUCUACAGAGCUAGUUCCAGGACAGGCUCCAAAGCCACAGAGAAACCCUGUCUUGAAAAAUCGUAAAUAAAAUAAAAUAUUAUUUGUGGCCAGAUGGUGAUGGCGCACACCUUUAAUCCCAGCACUCGAGAGGCAGAGGCAGGUAGAUCUCUGUGAAUUCGAGGCCAGCCAAAGCUACAGAGAAACCCUGUCUCGAAAAACAAAAACAAAAUUACUUGUGAUUGUUUAGCUCUUGUGGUGCCAUUUAAAUGAGAAGAAUACUGUUUGAAGAACCAGCUUGCCUCCAUCUGUGGCUCAAAAGCCAUCUUUUACUAAAGAGAAACUAGAUUCAUUCCUUUUCAUGAUUAAACCAUUUUUUCGAUUUGACUGUGCCCCACCUUAGUUACAAAUGGUUCUGAAGUGCCUGUUACAGAAAUGGCAAUUGUGUUUUUGCUUCAAAAAGAUGUUUAUGACCAUCUUGCAACCCUACUUUGUUUCAAACGGUUAUAUGAGCACCUGUGUCUGCCUUGUUCUGCACGCCUUGCAAACAUAUCUGUUUCAGGAGGGACUAACUUGUUAUGCUUACGUUCUGUUCUAGUAAUACCUCCUGUUUUGCCUGGCAAAUCCCCCAUUCGGAAAGCCCCUAUCCCUGAGCUAUAAAAGCCUUGUCUUCACCCAGUGCUGACCUCAAUUUGUGCCAUAGAGGGAGAUAGCUGUGUACACAAAUAAAAAACCCUGCUCUAA